GUCCUAGCUUCGGCUGGACAUAUACUAAAAUUGGGACGAUACAGAAAAGAUUAGCAUGGCCCCUGCGCAAGGAUGACACGCAAAAAAAAUCCUAUGUAAAAAAUGCAA